UACGGAGCGGACAAACGUUAUUCGGAAUUAUUGGGCUUAAAGGGUGCGUAGGCGGUGCGGCAAGUCGGGUGUGAAAUCCCUCGGCUCAACCGAGGAACUGCGCCCGAUACUGCCGUGCUUGAGGGAGACAGAGGUGAGCGGAACUGAUGGUGGAGCGGUGAAAUGCGUUGAUAUCAUCAGGAACACCAGUGGCGUAAGCGGCUCACUGGGUCUCUUCUGACGCUGAGGCACGAAGGCUAGGGUAGCGAACAGG
rnacentral:misc_RNA from 1 species